rnacentral:misc_RNA from 1 species
AUUCAGACACCCCGCAAAG